rnacentral:rRNA from 1 species
AGUGAACGCUGGCGGUAGGCCUAACACAUGCCAGUCGAACGGCAGCACAGUAAGAGCUUGCUCUUACGGGUGGCGAGUGGCGGACGGGUGAGGAAUACAUCGGAAUCUACUUUUUCGUGGGGGAUAACGUAGGGAAACUUACGCUAAUACCGCAUACGACCUACGGGUGAAAGCAGGGGAUCUUCGGACCUUGCGCGAUUGAAUGAGCCGAUGUCGGAUUAGCUAGUUGGCGGGGUAAAGGCCCACCAAGGCGACGAUCCGUAGCUGGUCUGAGAGGAUGAUCAGCCACACUGGAACUGAAACACGGUCCAGACUCCUACGGGAGGCAGCAGUGGGGAAUAUUGGACAAUGGGCGCAAGCCUGAUCCAGCCAUACCGCGUGGGUGAAGAAGGCCUUCGGGUUGUAAAGCCCUUUUGCUGGGAAAGAAAAGCAGCAGGUUAAUACCCCGCUGUUCUGACGGUACCCAAAGAAUAAGCACCGGCUAACUUCGUG